GGGCACCCCUGAAGGACCAUAUCCACUGUGGACCCCCUUGGGAUCAGCCGAGGUCUGUAGAGGUGACAUUGCAGCCCAGCACCUCCCUCCUCCGCCCUGCCCUCCUCUGUCCUCCUUCCACAGGUGUGGCCAAGGGCACUGCCCAGUUGGCCUGUGACCCCCAGCUGAGGCUGCUUCCUGGGCAGCUGACUUCAAGUUUGUGACCUGAGCUCUCCAGGCCCCCGAGCGGCUGGUGCCUUGGCCCUGCAGUUCUGCGGCCAAGACUCCUCCUCUGGGAUCUCGUCUUACCCUGCUGCGGGUGCCAGGGCUGCAUGAAGCAAGGGCGAAAGUCCCCUUCGCCCGGGCGCUGCCCUCUGCCUGCUGUCCCCUGUGCUCCUGUUCCCCGUGGCUGCCCAGGGACAGGUGUGUGGGAUGGAGGACGCGGGAGAGGCUGAGUCCUCCCCAGUGGACCCCCAGAUGCAGACCCUGAGGCAAGGGAGAGUGAGAAAGUGAAGGAAAGAACACAGCUGGAAAUGCAACCAAGAAGGAACCCCAGCCCGGACCACUUGACUCGAAGGAAUUGGGUCUUGAGACACAGCCGAGCCUGUGAGCGCUGACCUGUGUAAAGAAGACACCAGAAUGAGAUGUCUCCACACACAGAGAGCUGCAGCCGAUGCCGGCCGGUGACUUGGGACUUGGAUGCUUAACAGGAGGCUCCCCCUCUCUUGGGAGGUAGAGAGCAGUGAGGAAGGGGACUCAGCCUCCAUGCCUCCCGCCAGCCCAGCUGCGCCCGAAUCACCUCCCUCCUGAAAGGAUGUCAGCCUCUGCUUGGACACCGUGGAGACAGGGCCCUCCUUGUGCUUCAGAAGCAUCAACGUGUCAGAAAAUCAUCUUCACGCCAAGUCUGGAAAAAAUGGCUUUGAGGUUGUGCACACAAAGGAAGGAGGGAGAGCCCCAGGUGUCGCGGAGGACCAUGCGGCUGACAGAGCCAGCAGGGCGGUGGCGUGUGAGCCGUGCUCUGGAUAUAUAAGGAUCUGACGCUGCUGGCAAUGUCUGAGCUCUAUGCUCGCCCAU
rnacentral:lncRNA from 1 species